AGGGGGAGUAACAUCCGGAAACGGAUGCUAAAACCGCAUAGGUCUUCGAGCCGCAUGGCUUGAAGAGGAAAAGAGGCGCAAGCUUCUGCUGAUGGAUGGACCCGCGGUGCAUUAGCUAGUUGGUGAGGUAACGGCUCACCAAGGCCGUGAUGCAUAGCCGACCUGAGAGGGUGAUCGGCCACAUUGGGACUGAGACACGGCCCAA
rnacentral:rRNA from 1 species